CUAACACCCUAAAAUCGAUAUUUUGGAUCUUCUGGCGAAGUCGAAUUUUCCAUCCGAGGUCGUUUCGAUCAAAUGUGGAUCUCACACCCAUAUUUCAAAUUUUCCAACUUUCUGAUCAAUAGGUCGAAAUGAGCUCGGGUGCACCGGAAUCCGAACCAAAGGUCUACUUAACGUAAAAUUGAUAUUUUGGAGCUUCUGGCACAGUUCGUUCGGCCAUCUGUCGCACGGAUCAAAAGAUAUUCACAUAAGUCCAAAAUAAGGCUCUCAAAGUCAUCAAAAACCACAACAUUACAUAAAUGAUACCAAAAUGCAUCAAAAAUUAUGUCAAUCACUCCCACACCCUAGAAAUAUCAUAAUGUAACUACGGAGAGGGAUAAAACAGUCAAAUCACACAAAAUCACAAAUUUUACAUAUUUCAUCAAAUUUUCAGAUCGUUACAUGCUUCAUAUCACAAAAAAAUAAAAUAAUAAUCAGUUAGACACAUGUAAAAUUUGAACAACCUUAUAAAUUAAAAUUGAGUCUUAUACAAUCAUAGCAUUAAAUUAUACAAGAGGAAUUAAGGACUAUCUCAUGAGAAGAUUAAUUCACCAUAAAAAGAAUGAACGAACCACUAACUUGAAACUGCAAGAGCAAAGCCUCGAACUCUU
rnacentral:lncRNA from 1 species